UUUAGGAAGAAUACAAUAAUGUGGAAUUUAGUGUUACUAUGAUUUUUGCUAAUAAAUAAAAAUAUGAAUUUUUAGUUUUUACUGCUGUCAUUAAAAUUAAAGUGAUUUCGUUUGACUUUUUUUCUCAGUUGCCCAGUCAGAAAUAUGAGCAUUUAAAUGAAUUAUUUAUUGAGUAUAUUUACUUAUUAACUCGUUUGACACUCAGAUUUCUUGCAUACGUAGAAGGAAAACAGCAUUCGAUGACGAUGCAGUUCGAUUGGGAGGAGGUCAAAAAGAAAAACAAGAGGAAGAUGGUCGAGCAGGAAGGGUGAGGAAGGGAAGGAGGGAAAUCGAGUGGGGGUUGAUAGAUCGAAGGGAACAGGUGGAGCAAGGGGAGGGAGGUUGAUUUAGAUUUACCACCACACCAGGACUACGACGAGAUGUAAUAGAAACGUUGCCCUCCGAACUGAGGGUGGUGGUGGUGGUGGUGAUGGUGGUGGUUUGUUUCCUCGGCAAUGAGUUCAACGUUUAUUACGCAACCACAAUGAACGAUAGUACUCGUAUCCCCCUCCCCCUUCUUCCUCCACCCAACAUCUCCCCACCCUACAAAGGAUUCGCACAAUAUGGGAAUAUCGAGCUACCCCAAAGGAAGAAAUCGAGAGUGUAGAAAUAUACGCAUAUAGAAAAUGUCGCUUGGAUUAGCACAAAGAGGAUGAAAAAAGGGGUGAGAGAGAGGAGGGGAGGAGGUGGAAGAGAGAUGGGAUAAACAAACCCCGUUUUCCUUAAUUAAGAGAAGCGUACACGUCAAAGGGUGCAAGGAUGCAAGUAAAGUCCAAUCCAAAACUAUGAAAAAAAAAAAA